rnacentral:rRNA from 1 species
UACGGAGGGUGCAAGCGUUACUCGGAAUCACUGGGCGUAAAGCGCGCGCAGGCGGCUAGAUAAGUUGGAAGUGAAAUCCUAUGGCUCAACCAUAGAACUGCUUCCAAAACUGUUUAGCUAGAGUCUGGGAGGGGAAGAUGGAAUUAGUAGUGUAGGGGUAAAAUCCGUAGAGAUUACUAGGAAUACCAAAAGCGAAGGCGAUCUUCUGGAACAGUACUGACGCUGAGGCGCGAAAGCGUGGGGAGCAAACAGGAUUAGAUACCCUGGUAGUCCACGCCCUAAACGAUGAAUGUUAGUCGUCGGGACUCUAGUAGUUUCGGUGAUGCAGUUAACACAUUAAACAUUCCGCCUGGGGAGUACGGUCGCAAGAUUAAAACUCAAAGGAAUAGACGGGGACCCGCACAAGUGGUGGAGCAAAUCUAUAAACCUAAUCUCAGUUCGGAUUGUAGUCUGCAACCCGACUACAUGAAGCUGGAAUCACUAGUAAUCGUAGAUCAGCUAUGCUACGGUGAAUACGU